rnacentral:rRNA from 1 species
AUGCCUCCGAUUGCAUCUGAGAAGCAGAUUUUAGACAGAUCAUAUGAUCGCGUGCGUGGAUCUGUUACCAUUGAACGGCGCAUAGGCGAGGAAUAUGUUGCAUUUGGUACAGGUUUUGUGAUGGUUUCCGAUCAGAAGCAAGUCCUGACAAGUGUUCAUGAGUCUAUAGUCAAGGAUGGGGAGAGAUUAUUUGUUCGCUUCUAUGAUGAUAUCCAGAUGGAGGCCACCAUAUUUCUGAGAAACACACCAUCCAAGCAUGUUGUUCUGAAAGUUAGCCCUCGUCCUCCUCGUAGGCGCCAUCAUGUCAUCUUUAAUGAAAAUCAAGUUAGAAGACAGAAUGUUUUCACAAUUUCGGCAGUGGAAAGAUUUGAUGAACGUGGUUUGAUGACUGGCUCGAUAAGCAUUCCAAACUGCGAAGCAGUCCGACCAGAUGGGACUAUUGUGUACGGGAGCCAGAAUUUAUUUGUUAUGAGUUGCCCCAUGGGAGGACCGAAAGUUAAAGGAGAACCAAAUGGAGAGGACUUGCAAUUAGUCGGUGCCGCGGUAUUCGACAUGGACGGUCUAGUAAUUGGCACAGUUGAUCGAGUUGACAUGUCUGCGUUUGAUAUAAAAUAUGCAAUUAAAACAAGUUCAUUUCUGAAUGAUCUGGAAAGUUUGUUGAAGGAUAUUGAUGAUACGAUUGUUCUUUCGAAGGAUCAACAAGGCUUCAGCAAAGGCGCUGGAACGAGCAAGCAGGGAGGUAGUGUGGCGGGAUCAAGUAGAAAGAGG